rnacentral:lncRNA from 1 species
AGCAAUGCCAGGCUCCUAUCUCCAGUCCUCACUCUGCUCCAACUCCUAAGGUGUCCUCCGCUGACAGGCCCCUGGAAGGGAGCUCCUUGCAGUCCAUACUCCCUGUUCUGGCUCUCCAGUCCUUGCUCUAAGACAGCAGACCUUGGACCACAAGGUGACUACACAUUACUGCCUGGGGUUCAGGACCAUGUCUCUGGUUUAUUGCCCCCUGAAAAGUGACUGGCUAGCCCUCCCACCUGCCCUUUGCCCAUCUGGACACCUGUGUGCCCAUGCCCUGGAGUGAGGGUUGGAGACUGGGGGCCUGACAGCAAAAACCCUGGUUUUCUGUCAAUAGUCAUCUUGGUUGUAGGUCCCUUUCUUCAUAGACCUUGAGACAACUGGAUUCUCUCACUGGGGAGGCACAGGAGAGGGUCACCUUUGCAGAGGCCUCACUAGCAUCCCAAGAUUACCAUCUGGACUCCUGGAACUCUAAGAAACUGUGUCAGCCUCCCAGGCAGGUAGCACCCUAAGGAAUGCAUGGAAAUAGACUCCCUCUAGCACUGCAGCCUUUGAGGGCAUCCUCCCAGAUAGGCAAAAACUGCACCCCAGAACUAAUGUUGGCAGAGUGAUUCCUGUCCAUGAUAUGCUGCUUGGUGGGCACCCCCUGGAGUGAAAGAAUCCAGUCCCUACCCUGCCCCUGCUUUGAACUGGCACUUGGUCAUCCAUUUUCCCCCAUGGUUUCCCCAGCACUAGAAAUAGUGCUGUGCUCAAUAAACCCACAUGCACUGAGACUGACGUUGUUUUCA